rnacentral:lncRNA from 1 species
GAAAGGAAAACAUACUUAAGUGGCUGUAACAUGUUCAGCUGAAAACAAAUGGCCUAAUUGUGGAAAGAGUUCCAGCUGAAAGAACCCAUUGUUCACCAUACCACAGAGUUUUAAAGAAAAAUCUACACCUUGGACUUCUGUACGGACUUUUGUUUCCACUGUGACUCACUUACUGACAUCAACAUCUGUUUUAGAGCCUGGAGCCUUUCCAGAGAAGGAGUUUAUUUGGUAGUGGCUGCUAUGUCACAAGGAUGCAAAAUCUAAGAUAGUUCUACAUAUGAGCUGCAGCAGAGCAUGGAAACCAGAGCUGAGCAGAAGCCUCUCAUAGAGAGACUGAGAAGAAUCUCAGCAGAAUGAUUUACAAGCUCUUUUCAGUGAAUAGGUGGAGG